GACGAACGCUGGCGGCGUGCCUAAUACAUGCAAGUCGAGCGGACGAAUCAAAAGCUUGCUUUUGAUUCGUUAGCGGCGGACGGGUGAGUAACACGUGGGCAACCUGCCCUGUAGACGGGGAUAACACCGAGAAAUCGGUGCUAAUACCGGAUAACACGAAAUGUCGCAUGACGUUUCGUUGAAAGACGGCGCAAGCUGUCGCUACAGGAUGGGCCCGCGGCGCAUUAGCUAGUUGGUGAGGUAACGGCUCACCAAGGCGACGAUGCGUAGCCGACCUGAGAGGGUGAUCGGCCACACUGGGACUGAGACACGGCCCAGACUCCUACGGGAGGCAGCAGUAGGGAAUCUUCCGCAAUGGACGAAAGUCUGACGGAGCAACGCCGCGUGAGCGAAGAAGGCCUUCGGGUCGUAAAGCUCUGUUGUUAGGGAAGAACAAGUAACGCAGUAACUGGCGUUACCGUGACGGUACCUAACGAGAAAGCCACGGCUAACUACGUGCCAGCAGCCGCCGUAACAC
rnacentral:rRNA from 1 species